rnacentral:rRNA from 1 species
GAUGAACGCUGGCGGCGUGCCUAAUACAUGCAAGUCGAGCGAACAGACGAGGAGCUUGCUCCUCUGACGUUAGCGGCGGACGGGUGAGUAACACGUGGAUAACCUACCUAUAAGACUGGGAUAACUUCGGGAAACCGGAGCUAAUACCGGAUAAUAUAUUGAACCGCAUGGUUCAAUAGUGAAAGACGGUUUUGCUGUCACUUAUAGAUGGAUCCGCGCCGCAUUAGCUAGUUGGUAAGGUAACGGCUUACCAAGGCGACGAUGCGUAGCCGACCUGAGAGGGUGAUCGGCCACACUGGAACUGAGACACGGUCCAGACUCCUACGGGAGGCAGCAGUAGGGAAUCUUCCGCAAUGGGCGAAAGCCUGACGGAGCAACGCCGCGUGAGUGAUGAAGGUCUUCGGAUCGUAAAACUCCGUUAUUAGGGAAGAACAAAUGUGUAAGUAACUAUGCACGUCUUGACGGUACCUAAUCAGAAAGCCACGGCUAACUACGUG